UCUUCCGUAGGUGAACCUGCGGAAGGAUCAUUA
rnacentral:rRNA from 2 species